GAUGAACGCGGCGGCGUGCUUAACACAUGCAAGUCGAACGAAGCAGUUUAUUACGAUCCCUUCGGGGUGACGAUUUAUGGAUUGAGUGGCGGACGGGUGAGUAACGCGUGGGUAACCUACCUUGUACAGGGGGACAACAGUUGGAAACGACUGCUAAUACCGCAUAAGCGCACAGCAUCGCAUGAAGCAGUGUGAAAAGUUUUUUCGGUACAAGAUGGACCCGCGUCUGAUUAGCUAGUUGGUGAGGUAACGGCUCACCAAGGCGACGAUCAGUAGCCGACCUGAGAGGGUGACCGGCCACAUUGGGACUGAGACACGGCCCAAACUCCUACGGGAGGCAGCAGUGGGGAAUAUUGCACAAUGGGCGCAAGCCUGAUGCAGCGACGCCGCGUGAGCGAAGAAGUAUUUCGGUAUGUAAAGCUCUAUCAGCAGGAAGAUAAUGACGUAC
rnacentral:rRNA from 1 species